rnacentral:rRNA from 1 species
AGCGUCCAACGGGUGAGUAACGCGUGGAUGACCUGCCCUUUAGUGGGGAACAACCAGGGGAAACUCUGGCUAAUACCGCAUAAGACCGAAAGGUGAAAGGGGGCCGCAAGGCUCUCGCUGAAGGAGGGGUCCGCGUCCGAUUAGCUAGUUGGUAGGGUAAUGGCCUACCAAGGCGACGAUCGGUAGCCGGCCUGAGAGGGUGAUCGGCCACACUGGAACUGAGACACGGUCCAGACUCCUACGGGAGGCAGCAGUGGGGAAUUUUGCGCAAUGGGCAAACGCCUGACGCAGCAACGCCGCGUGGAGGAUGAAGGUCUUUGGAUUGUAAACUCCUGUCAGCGGGGAAAAAAGGGACCUGGGCUAAUACCCUAGGGACUUGAUUGUACCCGCAGAGGAAGCCCCGGCUAACUCUGUGCCAGCAGCCGCGGUAAUACAGAGGGGGCAAGCGUUAUUCCGGAAUUAUUGGGCGUAAAGGGCGCGUAGGCGGCUUUGCAAGUGGCGGGUUGAANCCCUCGGCUUAACCNANGNACUGCCUGCCAGACUGUUGAGGCUUGA